rnacentral:rRNA from 1 species
UACGAAGGGGGCUAGCGUUGCUCGGAAUCACUGGGCGUAAAGCGCACGUAGGCGGAUUGUUAAGUCAGGGGUGAAAUCCUGGAGCUCAACUCCAGAACUGCCUUUGAUACUGGCGAUCUCGAGUCCGGGAGAGGUGAGUGGAACUGCGAGUGUAGAGGUGAAAUUCGUAGAUAUUCGCAAGAACACCAGUGGCGAAGGCGGCUCACUGGCCCGGUACUGACGCUGAGGUGACGAAAGCGUG